rnacentral:tRNA from 2 species
UGCGCCCAUAGCUCAAUCGGAUAGAGCAUUUGACUACGAAUCAAAAGGCUAGAGGUUCAACUCCUCUUGGGCGCAU